AUACCUUUCUCGGCCUUUUGGCUAAGAUCAAGUGUAGUAUCUGUUCUUAUCAGUUUAAUAUCUGAUAUGUGGGACACGUGCCCACAAUGAUAUUAAAUUUAUUUUUUAGGGGGGAGGAUCUGCUAUGAUAGCUUGCUAUCAAGAUCCUCAUGUGUCGCUCUGGCGUUGCACUACUGCUGGAGGCUCUGGCGUUGCACUA